rnacentral:rRNA from 2 species
GCAAGCGUUAUCCGGAUUUAUUGGGCGUAAAGCGAGCGCAGGCGGUUUUUUAAGUCUGAUGUGAAAGCCUUCGGCUCAACCGAAGAAGUGCAUCGGAAACUGGGAAACUUGAGUGCAGAAGAGGACAGUGGAACUCCAUGUGUAGCGGUGAAAUGCGUAGAUAUAUGGAAGAACACCAGUGGCGAAGGCGGCUGUCUGGUCUGUAACUGACGCUGAGGCUCGAAAGCGUGGGUAGCAAACAGGAUUAGAUACCCUGGUAGUCCAUACCGUAAACGAUGAAUGCUAAGUGUUGGAGGGUUUCCGCCCUGCAGUGCUGCAGCUAACGCAUUAAGUCAUCCGCCUGGGGAGUACGGCCGCAAGGGUGAAAC